GCCUUCGUAGCUCAGCUGGAUAGAGCAGCCGCCUCCUAAGCGGCAGGUCAUGCGUUCAAAUCGCGUCGAGGGCACUA
rnacentral:tRNA from 1 species